rnacentral:lncRNA from 1 species
GGAUGUGAGGGUGAUCUGGUUGUGACAUCUGUCACCCCAUUGAGCGCCGGGGUUGAUUCAGCUGAUCUGGCUGGCUAGGUGGGUGUCCCCUUCCUCCCUCACCGCUCUAUGUGUGUCCCUCCCGAAGCUGCGCGCUCGGUUGAAGAGGACGACCAUCCCCGAUAGAGGAGGACCAGUCUUCGGUCAAGGGUAUAUGAGUAGCUGCACUCCCCUGCUAGAACCUCCAAACAAGCUCUCAAG